GAGGACUACAUAACUGUCCUGUCAUCUCUAGUUCUACUGAGAGGACUACAUAACUGUCCUGUCAUCUCUAGCUCCACUGAGAGCCUGCUGGCCACAGGACUACAUAACUGUUCUGUCAUCUCUAGUUCCAUUGAGGACUACAUAACUGUCCUGUCAUCUCUAGCUCCACUGAGAGCCUGCUGGCCACAGGACUACAUAACUGUUCUGUCAUCUCUAGUUCCACUGAGAGGACUACAUAACUGUUCUGUCAUGUUUGGUAAUACUGUAGUAUGGAGCCUGCCAAUUACACAAACAAAUGGUGACAUCAUCUCACCAGUGUUUUCUAAUGCCUUGAUUCCCUCCGAAUACACAACUAAAUUAAUUAAUACUUUAUAGAGUUUACCCCCAAGAUUGGAAAAAUUAGUUGUGGUAUUGUGUAGAAAGACAUGACUUUACAAUUCAAAUGACUAAAAAUGUAUGAAUUCAGUGUAUUGUUAGUGGUUUUGGAUCUUUUCUAUGUCUAGGCCUGUAUGAUCAGGACUAUUGUCUACUCUAAGAGAACACGAUUUAGUUUUUUUAAACAUUUAACCUGUCUUCUCUUGAGAUUAAAGUAUUAUCUACAGUUUUACUCAAAUAUAUGAAUUGGCACAAUGGUGUUUGUUCUUCAAAUGAUGUAUUUGAUUAAAAACAGAAAAAUUAAGUAAAUUGCUGUCACGAUCGUCGUAGUGAAGAGACCAAAGCGCAGCGUGAUGUGAAUACAUCUUUUUAAUGAAAGACGAAAAAACACGAAGUACACUAAACAAACAAACAAACAAACAAACAAACAAACAAACAAACAAACAAACAAACAAACAAACAAACAAACAAACAAACAAACAAACAAACAAACAAACAAACAAACAAACAAACAAACAAAAUGACCACUAUCAAAACUGAGUCCAAACAUGCAACAUCACAUAGACAAUAACCCACGAAAUACCCAAAGAAGAUGGCUGCCUAAAUAUGGUUCCCAAUCAGAGACAACGAUAAACAGCUGCCUCUAAUUAAGAACCAAUCUAGGCAACCAUAGACAUACAUAAACACCUAGAUGGUAAACAACCCUAUAAACCUAUAAAACCCCUAGACAGUACAAAACACAUACAUCACCCAUGUCACACCCUUGACCUAACCAAAAUAUAUAAAGAAAACAAAGAAUACUCAGGUCAGGGCGUGACAAUUGCCCACAUUAUCUUGAGAAAUAUUUUUUUUGUUUUGUUUUUCCAGGUUUCCCUUUUUAUCUCAGUUUAUUCAGAUUUUCGCUUUCAAAAUCACACUUUUUAAAAUAGAACAUCCAAUUUUUUUUUUUAUGUUUAAGUGCACAACAAUGGUAAACCACAUUAGGAGACCACUUUUGAGGUCUGGGGAAAAAUCUAAGAAAUUUAGAUUUAAGAGAAGUACAGUGCCUUGCGAAAGUAUUCGGCCCCCUUGAACUUUGCAACCUUUUGCCACAUUUCAGGCUUCAAAUAUAAAGAUAUAAAACUGUAUUUUUUUGUGAAGAAUCAACAACAAGUGGGACACAAUCAUGAAGUGGAACGACAUUUAUUGGAUCUUUCAAACUUUUUGUAACAAAUCAAAAACGGAAAAAUUGGGCGUGCAAAAUUAUUCAGCCCCUUUACUUUCAGAGCAGCAAACUCUCUCCAGAAGUUCAGUGAGGAUCUCUGAAUGAUCCAAUGUUGACCUAAAUGACUAAUGAUGAUAAAUACAAUCCACCUGUGUGUAAUCAAGUCUCCGUAUAAAUGCACCUGCACUGUGAUAGUCUCAGAGGUCCG
rnacentral:lncRNA from 13 species